AACACAUGCAAGUCGAGCGGAAACGAGUUAACUGAACCUUCGGGGAACGUUAACGGCGUCGAGCGGCGGACGGGUGAGUAAUGCCUGGGAAAUUGCCCUGAUGUGGGGGAUAACCAUUGGAAACGAUGGCUAAUACCGCAUAAUAGCUUCGGCUCAAAGAGGGGGACCUUCGGGCCUCUCGCGUCAGGAUAUGCCCAGGUGGGAUUAGCUAGUUGGUGAGGUAAUGGCUCACCAAGGCGACGAUCCCUAGCUGGUCUGAGAGGAUGAUCAGCCACACUGGAACUGAGACACGGUCCAGACUCCUACGGGAGGCAGCAGUGGGGAAUAUUGCACAAUGGGCGCAAGCCUGAUGCAGCCAUGCCGCGUGUGUGAAGAAGGCCUUCGGGUUGUAAAGCACUUUCAGUCGUGAGGAAGGUGGUGUAGUUAAUAGCUGCAUCAUUUGACGUUAGCGACAGAAGAAGCACCGGCUAACUCCGUGCCAGCAGCCGCGGUAAUACGGAGGGUGCGAGCGUUAAUCGGAAUUACUGGGCGUAAAGCGCGUGCAGGUGGUUAGUUAAGUCAGAUGUGAAAGCCCGGGGCUCAACCUCGGAACUGCAUUUGAAACUGGCUGACUA
rnacentral:rRNA from 1 species